GUGAAAAGUGUUUUAGAAAAAAAGCCUGCUGGGGAGAAGAUAUUGCAGGAAUACAAAACAACUGGGAAAAUCACAGAUUCCACAAGACGGAUUCUUGUGAACGCAUUAGUUGGAGACAUGAUCGAUAAAUAUGGGAGUAUUCCACCUAAGGAGAUCAGAGUUAAAUAUGCAGUUGGGAUUGUGACUCUGUUUCCCUCUCUCAAAGAUCCCUUUUCCAGAAAAGGCUGUGAACACUUCUAUGAUGCAGAAGGUAACUCAGGAUAUAUAGCCUGGAGACUGAAGACAGUUCAACGUAACAACCGCUGCAGCAGAACCACUUCUGAUGAUAAAUGUGAG